rnacentral:rRNA from 1 species
CAAAAGUGAAAGACGGUCUUGCUGUCACUUAUAGAUGGAUCCGCGCUGCAUUAGCUAGUUGGUAAGGUAACGGCUUACCAAGGCAACGAUGCAUAGCCGACCUGAGAGGGUGAUCGGCCACACUGGAACUGAGACACGGUCCAGACUCCUACGGGAGGCAGCAGUAGGGAAUCUUCCGCAAUGGGCGAAAGCCUGACGGAGCAACGCCGCGUGAGUGAUGAAGGUCUUCGGAUCGUAAAACUCUGUUAUUAGGGAAGAACAUAUGUGUAAGUAACUGUGCACAUCUUGACGGUACCUAAUCAGAAAGCCACGGCUAACUACGUGCCAGCAGCCGCGGUAAUACGUAGGUGGCAAGCGUUAUCCGGAAUUAUUGGGCGUAAAGCGCGCGUAGGCGGUUUUUUAAGUCUGAUGUGAAAGCCCACGGCUCAACCGUGGAGGGUCAUUGGAAACUGGAAAACUUGAGUGCAGAAGAGGAAAGUGGAAUUCCAUGUGUAGCGGUGAAAUGCGCAGAGAUAUGGAGGAACACCAGUGGCGAAGGCGACUUUCUGGUCUGUAACUGACGCUGAUGUGCGAAAGCGUGGGGAUCAAACAGGAUUAGAUACCCUGGUAGUCCACGCCGUAAACGA